GACGAACGCUGGCGGCGUGCUUAACACAUGCAAGUCGAACGGAAAGGCCCUGCUUUUGUGGGGUGCUCGAGUGGCGAACGGGUGAGUAACACGUGAGUAACCUGCCCUUGACUUUGGGAUAACUUCAGGAAACUGGGGCUAAUACCGGAUAGGAGCUCCUGCUGCAUGGUGGGGGUUGGAAAGUUUCGGCGGUUGGGGAUGGACUCGCGGCUUAUCAGCCUGUUGGUGGGGUAGUGGCUUACCAAGGCUUUGACGGGUAGCCGGCCUGAGAGGGUGACCGGCCACAUGGGGACUGAGAUACGGCCCAGACUCCUACGGGAGGCAGCAGUGGGGAAUAUUGCACAAUGGGCGGAAGCCUGAUGCAGCAACGCCGCGUGCGGGAUGACGGCCUUCGGGUUGUGAACCGCUUUCGCCUGUGACGAAGCGUGAGUGACGGUAAUGGGUAAAGAAGCACCGGCUAACUACGUG
rnacentral:rRNA from 1 species